rnacentral:rRNA from 1 species
GAUGAACGCUGGCGGCGUGCCUAACACAUGCAAGUCGAACGAACCUGAUUUUGAUUCUUCGGAUGAUGAAGAUGGUUAGUGGCGGAUGGGUGAGUAACACGUAGGUGACCUACCCCGAUGAGGGGAAUAACCAUUGGAAACGAUGGCUAAUACCCCGUGUGAUCGACGAUUCGGUUUGUCGAUUAAAGCUUUAGCGUGUCGGGAGGGCCUGCGGCCCAUCAGGUAGUUGGUAGGGUAAUGGCCUACCAAGCCGAUGACGGGUAGCUGGUCUGAGAGGAUGAUCAGCCACACUGGAACUGAAACACGGUCCAGACUCCUACGGGUGGCAG